CUGGGAUUAAAACGCGGGUGGAAGGCACGGUCUUGUGCUGCCAAAAGGAUAGAGGAAUUGCCUAUGGCUUGGGUUCUUCAACUUUUUUGGAUCAGAAUCCCCCUGACUACCUAACCAAGGUCCUUCACGCAGAAUGCAUGUGGGCCCUUGCUACCAACAUUCGGGUACAUUCCAGGAAGUUAGAGACCCUCUGAAGUGGAGUCGACCAGCACACAAGAACCACCUGCGCAGAGAAGAGAAUGAAACUGUAAGGAGAGUUUUGGGACUCCUGAUUGGCUCAGUGGAAGGAGCAUGCGACUCGAGCUCCGCGAAGUCAUGAUCCCAGGAUCCUAGGAUCAAGCCCCACAUCGGAUUCUCUGCUCAGCGGGGUGCCUGCUUCCCUUCCUCUCUGCCUGCCUGUCU
rnacentral:lncRNA from 1 species